UAAUACGGAGGAUCCAAGCGUUAUCCGGAAUCAUUGGGUUUAAAGGGUCCGUAGGCGGUUUAAUAAGUCAGUGGUGAAAUCUGGUCGCUCAACGAUCAAACGGCCAUUGAUACUGUUAGACUUGAAUUACUGGGAAGUAACUAGAAUAUGUAGUGUAGCGGUGAAAUGCUUAGAUAUUACAUGGAAUACCAAUUGCGAAGGCAGGUUACUACCAGUUGAUUGACGCUGAUGGACGAAAGCGUGGGGAGCGAACAGGAUUAGAUACCCUGGUAGUCCACGCCGUAAACGAUGGAUACUAGCUGUUGGGAGCAAUCUCAGUGGCUAAGCGAAAGUGAUAAGUAUCCCACCUGGGGAGUACGUUCGCAAGAAUG
rnacentral:rRNA from 1 species